CACGUAGGGGGCGAGCGUUGUCCGGAAUUACUGGGCGUAAAGAGCGCGUAGGUGGUUAAGUAAGUCAGGUGUGAAAGGCCAGGGCUCAACCCUGGGAUUGCACUUGAAACUGUUUAACUUGAGGGCAGGAGAGGUAAGUGGAAUUCCUGGUGUAGCGGUGAAAUGCGUAGAUAUCAGGAGGAACACCAGUGGCGAAGGCGACUUACUGGCCUGGCUCUGACACUGAGGCGCGAAAGCGUGGGUAGCGAACAGGAUUAGAUACC
rnacentral:rRNA from 1 species